GAUGAAGAACGUAGCGAAAUGCGAUACGUAGUGUGAAUUGCAGAAUUCCGCGAAUCAUCGAGUCUUUGAACGCAAGUUGCGCCCGAGGCUUGUCCAAGGGCAUUUCUGCCAGAGCGUCACCGCGACACCCACCAAACCACUCCAAGUGGUUUGAGUGAAUCUGGCCAUCCGAAUUUGUUGUCUUCCAACGGAUUGGGUUGGCUGAAAUAGAGGGAAUUUGGCCGCCGUGUUGACACAGCCAGCGAUCAGGUGAUCCAGGUGGUAAAAGACUUGGAACUCAAACGUGCGCUGGAUCCUGUGUCAGCCAGUUGGUCGGACUCACAAGCAGGCUCCUACCGACACUUCGGCCUGAAAAGCCGGGUGGAGGAAAGGAAGUAUAAAAGUCACGCAUCAGACCUCUGAUCAGAAAAGACUACCCGCUGAGUUUAAGCAUAUCAAUAAGCGGAGGA
rnacentral:misc_RNA from 1 species